UGGCUCAGUGGUAAGAGCACUGAGUGCUCUUGCAGAGGACCUGGGUUCGAUUCCCAG
rnacentral:tRNA from 1 species